rnacentral:rRNA from 1 species
GGUUAAGUGACUAAGCGUACACGGUGGAUGCCUUGGCAGUCAGAGGCGAUGAAAGACGUAGUAACUUGCGAUAAGCCCAGAUUAGGUAGUAACAACCAUUUGAGUCUGGGAUUUCUGAAUGGGGAAACCCACGUGCAUAAGCACGUAUCCUUACCUGAAUACAUAGGGUAAGGAGGCGAACCGGGGGAACUGAAACAUCUAAGUACCCCGAGGAAAAGAAAUCAACCGAGAUUCCGAAAGUAGCGGCGAGCGAAAUUGGACUAGCCCUUAAGCUUUACACGCGUUAGACGAACGGUCUGGAAAGUCCGACGAUACAGGGUGAUAGUCCCGUAGUUGACGACGUGUGUUCAGUGAAAUCGAGUAGGGCGGGACACGUGAUAUCCUGUCUGAAUAUGGGGGGACCAUCCUCCAAGGCUAAAUACUACUGACUGACCGAUAGUGAACCAGUACCGUGAGGGAAAGGCGAAAAGAACCCCUGUGAGGGGAGUGAAAUAGAACCUGAAACCGUGUACGUACAAGCAGUAGGAGCAGGCUUGUCCUGUGACUGCGUACCUUUUGUAUAAUGGGUCAGCGACUUAUAUUCAGUGGCAAGGUUAACCAUCUAGGGGAGCCGUAGGGAAACCGAGUCUUAACUGGGCGUUCAGUCUCUGGAUAUAGACCCGAAACCAGGUGAUCUAGCCAUGGGCAGGUUGAAGGUUGAGUAACAUCAACUGGAGGACCGAACCGACUAAUGUUGAAAAAUUAGCGGAUGACUUGUGGCUAGGGGUGAAAGGCCAAUCAAACCUGGAGAUAGCUGGUUCUCCCCGAAAGCUAUUUAGGUAGCGCCUCGGACGAAUACUACUGGGGGUAGAGCACUGUUAAGGCUAGGGGGUCAUCCCGACUUACCAACCCUUUGCAAACUCCGAAUACCAGUAAGUACUAUCCGGGAGACACACGGCGGGUGCUAACGUCCGUCGUGGAGAGGGAAACAACCCAGACCGCCAGCUAAGGUCCCAAAUUACUACUAAGUGGGAAACGAUGUGGGAAGGCUCAGACAGCCAGGAUGUUGGCUUAGAAGCAGCCAUCAUUUAAAGAAAGCGUAAUAGCUCACUGGUCGAGUCGGCCUGCGCGGAAGAUGUAACGGGGCUAAGUAGUAAACCGAAGCUGCGGCAAUAUACUUUUGUAUAUUGGGUAGGGGAGCGUUCUGUAAGCGGUUGAAGGUGUGUGGUAACGCAUGCUGGACGUAUCAGAAGUGCGAAUGCUGACAUGAGUAACGAUAAAGGGGGUGAAAAACCUCCUCGCCGGAAGACCAAGGGUUCCUGUCCAACGUUAAUCGGGGCAGGGUAAGUCGACCCCUAAGGCGAGGCCGAAAGGCGUAGUCGAUGGGAAACGGGUUAAUAUUCCCGUACUUCUUACAAUUGCGAUGGGGGGACGGAGAAGGCUAGGUGGGCCUGGCGACGGUUGUCCAGGUUCAAGUGCGUAGGCUUAAGAGUUAGGUAAAUCCGGCUCUUUUUAAGGCUGAGACACGACGUCGAGCACCUACGGGUGUGAAGUCAUUGAUGCCAUGCUUCCAGGAAAAGCCUCUAAGCUUCAGAUUGUAAGGAAUCGUACCCCAAACCGACACAGGUGGUCGGGUAGAGAAUACCAAGGCGCUUGAGAGAACUCGGGUGAAGGAACUAGGCAAAAUGGUACCGUAACUUCGGGAGAAGGUACGCUCUUGAUGGUGAAGUCCCUCGCGGAUGGAGCUGACGAGAGUCGCAGAUACCAGGUGGCUGCAACUGUUUAUUAAAAACACAGCACUGUGCAAAAUCGUAAGAUGACGUAUACGGUGUGACGCCUGCCCGGUGCCGGAAGGUUAAUUGAUGGGGUUAGACUUCGGUCGAAGCUCUUGAUCGAAGCCCCGGUAAACGGCGGCCGUAACUAUAACGGUCCUAAGGUAGCGAAAUUCCUUGUCGGGUAAGUUCCGACCUGCACGAAUGGCGUAAUGAUGGCCACGCUGUCUCCACCCGAGACUCAGUGAAAUUGAAAUCGCUGUGAAGAUGCAGUGUACCCGCGGCUAGACGGAAAGACCCCGUGAACCUUUACUACAGCUUGGCACUGAACAUUGACCCUACAUGUGUAGGAUAGGUGGGAGGCUUUGAAGCACGUACGCCAGUAUGUGUGGAGCCGUCCUUGAAAUACCACCCUUGUAGUGUUGAUGUUCUAACGUCGACCCCUUAUCGGGGUUGCGGACAGUGCCUGGUGGGUAGUUUGACUGGGGCGGUCUCCUCCCAAAGAGUAACGGAGGAGCACGAAGGUGGGCUAAUCACGGUUGGACAUCGUGAGGUUAGUGCAAUGGCAUAAGCCCGCUUGACUGCGAGAAUGACAAUUCGAGCAGGUGCGAAAGCAGGUCAUAGUGAUCCGGUGGUUCUGAAUGGAAGGGCCAUCGCUCAACGGAUAAAAGGUACUCCGGGGAUAACAGGCUGAUACCGCCCAAGAGUUCAUAUCGACGGCGGUGUUUGGCACCUCGAUGUCGGCUCAUCACAUCCUGGGGCUGAAGUCGGUCCCAAGGGUAUGGCUGUUCGCCAUUUAAAGUGGUACGCGAGCUGGGUUUAGAACGUCGUGAGACAGUUCGGUCCCUAUCUGCCGUGGGCGUUGGAAGAUUGAAGGGGGCUGCUCCUAGUACGAGAGGACCGGAGUGGACGAACCUCUGGUGUUCGGGUUGUGUCGCCAGACGCAUUGCCCGGUAGCUAAGUUCGGAAUCGAUAACCGCUGAAAGCAUCUAAGCGGGAAGCGAGCCCUGAGAUGAGUCUUCCCUGAUACUUUAAGUAUCCUAAAGGGUUGUCGGAGACUACGACGUUGAUAGGUCAGGUGUGUAAGUGCUGUGAGGCAUUGAGCUAACUGAUACUAAUUGCCCGUGAGGCUUAACCAU